ACAGCAGUCCACUCUUUUUCAAACUCGGCUCGUCGUCAUCACUAUAUAAGCCCUCCUGAGUUCAACGUCGGGUCACUUGACAUUAGGUCAUUUUUCUCGCUAGACGCCGCUUGUCAUUUUGCUCACAAUUCGGGGAAAUCGGUUCCCUUUCACCGGCAUUUAUAGUGCUCGCUCGCGCUUGAUAAGCACCGAUUCUCUUGUGUUCUUGCUUCGCUUCAGAUUUCUCUGCCUGCCUCGAUCGUUUCCCCUAGAAGGUACAUCGAGUCAGGCUACAGGGCUUUUUGUCUGAAAAUCGAAUUUGUUGGGCCACUUUCUUGCGAGACAGAUUAUGAAAGUCUGACUAUAGGUUGAUUACCUGUGAGUUAACAUGGGGUUUGACAACGAAUGCAUUUUGAACAUCCAAUCUCUAGCUGGAGAGUACUUCUGUCCAGUUUGUCGUCUGCUUGUAUACCCAAAUGAAGCUCUGCAGUCGCAGUGUACUCACCUUUACUGUAAACCAUGUCUGGCAUACAUCGCGGGUAGUACUAAGGCUUGCCCUUAUGAUGGCUAUCUGGUUACUGAAGCAGAUUCAAAGCCGCUCAUAGAUUCAAAUAAGGCAUUGGCCGAGACUAUCAACAAAAUACCGGUGCAUUGUCUCUUCCACAGGAGUGGAUGCACAUGGCAAGGUCCACUUUCUGAGUGUGUCACUCAUUGUGCUGGAUGUGCUUUUGGCAAUUCUCCUGUUGUGUGUAACAGGUGUGGAAUUCAGAUUGUGCAUCGUCAAGUCCAAGAACAUGCACAGAGUUGCCCUGGCGUGCAUCCUCAAGUGCAGCCAGCGGAGGGUUCUCAAGAGGCUUCUGGUACAAAUACUACUACUUCUGGCCAGGGCCAGAGUACUAAUCAGGCUGGGACUGCAAGUUCUCAGGCUCCUGAGGCUCAGACUUCUCAAACUGUUACACCUGCAACAUCAUCACAACAAAUUAGCUCAACUUCUCUGGUCCAAGGUGUCGGUCAGGCUGCUAUUCUGACUCCAGAGCAAUGGUAUCAGCACCAACAGCAAAAUUAUCAUCAGUAUUAUCAACAGUAUAUCGGAUAUGAUCCAUAUCAACAGCAGUAUCAGCAGUACUAUCCAUAUCAGCAGCCGGCCAUCCUGCAAACCCAGGUGUAUGCCCAGCCGCAGACCCAGCCGCAGACCCAGCCCCAGUCCCAAUCCCAACCACAGGUCCAGCCCCAGCCCCUACCUCAGCCUCAUACACAGCCCAAGGGUCAGCCUCAGGCCCAAACCCAAGUCCAGCCUCAGGUCUUUGGGCAGCUGCAACUGCAACCACAUGCUCAAUCUCAGAAUCCGCAGCAGCAACUUCAAUCAAACAUGCCAUCGCAAUUGCAAGUUCAGGCUCAGGUUCAGCCAUCUCAGGCUUUGCUGUAUCCUCAAUCCCAAUCCCAACCACAACCCCAGUACCCCAUUCUAUCUCAUUCACAGCCACAUGCACAGGUGCCUCAGCAUCAGCAACUGCAAGUGCAGGCACAGUAUCCCCAUCCACUGACUCAACCUCAGGUGCCUCCCCAGCUCCAGCUUCAACAGAGACCUGUUGCUCAAGUUCAACAUCAUUUACCAACUCAACCUGGGUCACAGGUCCCACCUCCAUCCCAGGCUCACCUCCAUCCUCAGGUGAUUCAGGGGCAAUCUCAAACACAGCAUCCAUCGGCUCAGGCGGUAACUGGUUAUCAGUCUUAUCCACAAACUCAGCCUCCGCCUCAAGCUCCCCAGCAGCACAUCAUGAAUGUUCGUCCUCACCAACAGGCUCAGCAGUUUAAUCAAAUGCAGGGUCAGUUUCCUCAACCUUCUCCCCAUAUGAAUCCAGCUCCUCAAGUUGCAGCUCCAAAGCAACAGCAACAACCAGCACUGUUGCCGUCACCUGUGCAAAACUUGAGCAUUCCUCCUGGUCAGCAGCAGCAGGGCAUUUACUCCCAUACUCAACAACCAGGACACCCAGUCCCCCAACGAGCAGUCAUUCCACCAUUUCAACUGCCGAUGUCUCAACAAUAUCCAACUCAGCAGCCUUCCUCUGGUGGACAAUCUGGAUCGGUACAUCAAGGUGCUUUUGUUCAGCAGCAGCAGGUGCAGUCGCACUUGCGCCCUCAUGGUCCUCCUCUUCAUCCAUUGCAACCACAGUUCACAAUGUAUCCACAGCCACAGCAGAGUGUUGGGAGGCCGAACUUUCCAAAUCAGGGGAUCCCAUCACAAUUCCACUCACAGUCAGGUGUUCCAGUCCAGUUCAAGUCAACGCAGGCUGGUUUCAACCACAAUAACUUGGUCAGUUCCCAUAAUCAAGUGCAAUUCUCUUUGGAGCAACAGCCCGGGGCAACAAUAUCAAGUGUGAGCGAGCAGCGACCUGAUCUACUGCCUCAAACGGGUGGUAAAAAGGAUGUAGUGUCAUCAUCUGGAACUGAUUCUAGUGAGAUGAAGAUGAUGAGAUCUGAAACCGAGGCAAAGCAUCUGGAUGAUGAUCACAAGGCUAUUGGGGAACCUGGUGAGUCUAACUAUGCAGAUACAUCCACUCGUGAGAUUCUAUCUGAAGCACCGGCAUCACAUGAUGCAGAGUAUUAUGUGAAGCGAAAGGUGAAGGGAGAAACCACAGAAAAUAUGAUGGAGUCUUCCCGUGGAAAAGGUGCGAUUCUUGUGGGAGAUCAGAAAGAUGGUUCUGGUAUUGGCCCCAUAUCAGAGGAGAAUGUGGCACGAGAAGAAAAGGGAAAUAUGGAUAGCUCAUCGAGGAGAAAUUCUCUGGUGCAAGAGACCGGUUUGCAGCCGAACUCCAACUUGGUGCCACAGCGUUCCGGCAGCGAUGGAAAAGUUGCACCACAGUCUGGACUGCAAGACAGAAACUUGCCUCAGCCUCAUGUUACUGCUUUUGCUCACGGGCGUGAUGAUCCUCGAGGUUUCCCUCCUCCUGGAAAUGUUCAGACUGGCGGUAGUUUGCAGCCUUCUCAUCCAAAUCAGGUCGUUGAUCAACAUAGGCAUCAAGCUCCACAGCUCCCUCAUGGAUCAUCCUUUCAACAUAGGCCUUCUGCACCUCCGAUGUUGCAACAGCCUCCUCUUGGACCUCCACAACACCCACCAAUGCCAGGUCACUCUGUAUCUCAUCAUGGCCCUCCUGGCUUUGGUAAUUUACCGCCUGGUCAAGGCUCUAUAGCAUCCUUUGGGAGAGGUCAAGGGCAAUUUGGCCCCCAAUCCAUUCUUUCAGAUGGUAUGUAUAAUCAAGGCCCUUCUGCCUUUGGACCUGCACGUGGAAUGGCUCAUAAGCAACCUAACAAUUUACUUGAGGCAGAAAACUUUCCAAACCAGAGGCCUGUCUUCAUGGAUGGUAGACAAACUGACAGUAAUCUUCCGAGGAACAUGGAACCUGUCUUUGGACAUCCUUCAGAAAUCCAAUCAAACUUGUUGAGAAUGGGCCAGCCUCCUGGAUUUGACUCUGCUUUUAAGUCCUUGCCUGAUGAACGGUUCAAUCGCCAAUCUAUGGGUCCAUCUCGUCGUGGUUUUGACCGUGGAGCUUUUGAAGAAGAUACUAGGGGAUUUCGUGGACCAUAUCAUCUGGAUGCUGAGGCUGUGCAAAAAUAUGGGGGGCGCUUUUCCUCCGGAAGUCCUUUUACAAAAGAUCCUCUUGACAAAGAAUUUCGUGGAUUUAAUCCUGACAAUGGACCUAAGUAUGCAGCUGACUCGUCAAGGAACUUCCAGUCAUACGAUCGUACUGGUGUACUUGGUGAAAGAGCAUUAGGUCAUCCCGAAGAUAAUCCUGGGAGAUUAGGUGCUUCUUUUGGUCGUGAAGUUUUUGAAGCGCUGCCAAGUCAACGUCAUAAGGAUGGUUUGACCCAUCGAAGCCCAGGUAGAGAAUAUUCUGGCAUCCCUUCACACGGAUUUGAAGGCCGUCCAGGUGUUCAACGAAAUCCUCCUGACGACAGUGGUAGGAGGGAGCCGCGUGUAUAUGGUGCUGGCAGUUCAUUCCCAGAAGGUAGGUUUCCAGCUUUGCCAAGCCACUUUCAUAAGAGUCAGUUUGAGGACACAAGGAAUUCAAGGAUGGGCGAGCAUUUGAGGAAUGGUGGUCUGAGUGGUGAUGAUUUUAUGUUGAGCCAUGUACGCAAAGGUGAUAAUUUUGGCUCUCGUGACCUGCCUACGCAAAUUCGGAUGGGUGAGCCGGGUGGUGUGGGCACCUUCAACAGCCAUACUCGUUUAGGAGAACCAGUUGGGCUUGAGUCAAUUCGAGGCAACAGGUUUGGUCAUCCAAGAUUUGGCGAGACUGGAUUCAGAAGCAGCUUUCCCCUCCAAGGACACCCUAAUGAUGGAAAGUAUACAGGUGACUUGGAGUCUUUUGAAAACUCAAGAAAGAGAAAGGCUGCAAGUAUGGGCUGGUGUCGGAUUUGUAAAGUGGAUUGUGAAACAGUUGAAGGUCUGGACCUGCAUUCACAAACAAGGGAGCACCAGAAAAUAGCUAUGGACAUGGUUCGUAGCAUUAAGCAGCAGAAUGCCAAGAAACAGAAAAUAAGUUCCAGUAAUCGAUCCUCAGUUGAUGAUUCUAGCAAGUUGAAGAAUGCCGGUAUUGAGGGUCAAGAAAAUAAGCAUUAAAAAGAACAUCCAAAUUGGGGGACUAAUUUCAGCUGAAGAUGCUAGCAAGUCCAAAAAUGCUGGUUUUGAGGAUGAGAGAAGAAGCAUUAAAUUUGGCUGUGCGCUGCACUGUUGAUUGCCAUGACCUGUUUUUCUUGGUAUCUAUGACUUAGAAAUCUAGAUCUUUUCAAUUCGACCUGUGUUUUUUCGGGGAAGCUGACAAAGAAAGGCCGAAACUUUGUGGAAAGGUUUACUGCACAUAUUUUGAUGUGUUUUCUUUCUAUGGGCAAUUGUGGACUUGAAAUUCUGCUUCUUCCUUGUGUUUUUGGCCAGGUUCGUGUUUCCCCUGAAUUUUACAAGAUCAUUCUGGUUAUUAUUUUAUAUCAAAUCUAUAUUUGCACUAGCCAUUUCUCUUUAUCAUCUUAGUGUCUUGAUAUCGCUAUAAAUAAAUAAACUUUUAUGCUUAGUGCUAACAGCUCACCAAAUAGCAUCCUUACUCCAGUAAGAGUGUGUCUCGUGAUUGAUAAGAACACUUUAGCUCAUAGAUUUGGUUGUUAUCUUCAUUUUGUACUGGACUGGAGGGCUUCCGGGUUUUCUUGAUCUUGAUGUUUAUUCUACCAACUAGUUCUUUAGAGGGCUAUUAGAUGAGAGUUGGAUUUGUUAUUAAUCUAUGGGUGCCCUUUUAUGUGAUAGAUUAAUCAUAGUGGCAGUACACUUUACUUUAGUAAACUUGGCCAAAUGUGCAAAUUAUUUCCUGUGGCUUUUGUUGUUUUUCUUGCUUUGCAAGAGUUGGUGCCAUACACAAUGGUAAUUUAUGGUAUGGUUAGAACUGAAUGCUUUUAGAAUUUCUGGGUCCAUUCUGAGGGACAAUUAGGGAAGUAUUGAGGGCUAGAAUGCGACUUUGUUAUCUUGAGGUCUUUCUUUUGUUUACUGUAUUUCAACUUGUAUUUGACCUUGGUAUGCAUGUAUAGAUUUUUGAUAUCUUUUGCCCGAGCCUUUUCUUGCUUGAAAUUCUGUGGCUCUAGUUGAGGUGCAACUCAACUUCAAGCCUUUUGCCCACCCUAUUUUAUUUUUGGGAGCAAGAAUAGGAAGAUCAUGGACUAUAUUGAGGACUUGAACACAGUAUCGGAAUGUAGCUUUUGUGGGUUUGGUAUUAUGGUGGAGUAUAAAACGAUAUCGCUCGUGCAGUGGUCUCGAUCUAUCUCCAUUCGACAGCCGUUGAUAAGCCUUCUAGUCAUUCUACAUAUGUAUAUUAGAUUAGGAGAAAUGAUUUGGUCGUGGAGGGAGAGUGCCAGCAAAUUGUGCUGAUUUCGGUUUCCGAAGGCAUAUUGCUAAGGCACAGAGUGUGCAAAUUUUGGAUCAUCCUACUUAUGCUGUCUUGAUUUUGGUUGAAUCUUUAUGCUUUGGAUGGUAUUUCCUUACAAGAACUUUUGGGCCCUUUCAUGUGGAUAGAAGAAAUUUGACACAAUGAUUUGACGUCUUAACAUUGCUUGCAUUUCUCAGUUAUCCUGACAUGUGCUUAGAGCGACGCCUGAAUUUCCUUAGUAGGUAGCUUAUUUAACGUGAACAUUAUGCUCUCCUUUUUUUCCUGGCUAACAUGAUCAUGAAGUUUUCUGCUUUUUCAAGGAAUGCUUCGAAAAGUGUCGACGUUGAGCCAAAGCUCUGUACACAUCCUUUACUGUCUGUUAGGUUGGUUUUAAACUCCUGGAGAAUAACCCUCUUUUCAGUUGUGCAGGGUAGAUUACUUUUCUCUUUUGUUGACUGUCCUUUUCAUUACUUCGGUGUCAUGUUGUGGAAUGGGUUCCGUCUUUACCCUUUCUGUUGAGCUUGAAAUGUUCCGAGGUUUCCAUCCUGUGGUGAGAUACCAAAAGCCAGUCUCUCCACUGCCAAGGCGGAAGCCAGAAUAAGAAGACGAUGAGCACUGAGAGAGUGAAGGAAGGAGGGGAAAGGAAGAAAAAAAAAAUGUGAAAAAGGGAAUAGUGAUUACUACUGCUAAAUCAUUUCAUGAAAGACGGAUAUGUCAAGGAACAUUAAAAUGUGUAAUGCAUUGAGUUGGAUUCAA